GACAGAGGGGGCAAGCGUUGCUCGGAAUUACUGGGCGUAAAGGGCGCGUAGGCGGGAUGGCAAGUCGGUCGUGAAAUCCCUCGGCUCAACCGAGGAACGUCGAUCGAUACUGCUGUUCUUGAGGAUUGCAGAGGAGACUGGAAUUCCCGGUGUAGCGGUGAAAUGUGUAGAGAUCGGGAGGAACACCGGUGGCGAAGGCGGCAUCCUGGACCGGCAUUGACGCUGAGGCGCGAAAGCUAGGGGAGCAAACGGG
rnacentral:rRNA from 1 species